AUUGAACGCUGGCGGCAUGCCUAACACAUGCAAGUCGAACGGUAGCAGGCCUUCGGGCGCUGACGAGUGGCGGACGGGUGAGUAAUACAUAGGAAUCUGCCUUUUAGUGGGGGAUAACCCGGAGAAAUCCGGGCUAAUACCGCAUACGCACUACGGUGGAAAGCAGGGGAUCGUAAGACCUUGCGCUAAUAGAUGAGCCUAUGUCGGAUUAGCUUGUUGGUAGGGUAAUGGCCUACCAAGGCGACGAUCCGUAGCUGGUCUGAGAGGACGACCAGCCACACUGGGACUGAGACACGGCCCAGACUCCUACGGGAGGCAGCAGUGGGGAAUAUUGGACAAUGGGGGCAACCCUGAUCCAGCAAUGCCGCGUGUGUGAAGAAGGCCUCGG
rnacentral:rRNA from 1 species